GGGCUUUGUUUGCGCAGGAUAGGUGGGAGGCGUUGAAAGUUUUCUUGCGGGAAGAUUUGAGCCAUUGGUGAGAUACCACUCUAACAAUGCUAGGAUUCUAACCCUAUGUCGUUAUCCGGCUAGGGGACAGUUUCAGGUGGUCAGUUUGACUGGGGCGGUCGCCUCCUAAAAGGUAACGGAGGCGUGCAAAGGUUCCCUCAGGCUGGUUGGAAAUCAGUCGUAGAGUGUAAAGGCAUAAGGGAGCUUGAUUGUGAGACCUACAAGUCGAACAAAGACGAAAGUCGGCCUUAGUGAUCCGGCGGUACCGAGUGGAAGGGCCGUCGCUCAGCGGAUAAAAGUUACUCUAGGGAUAACA
rnacentral:rRNA from 1 species